CUUUCAGCNAUGGAUAUCUUGGCU
rnacentral:rRNA from 1 species